rnacentral:rRNA from 1 species
GGGGUUGCCUCAGUAACGGCGAGUGAAGCGGCAACAGCUCAAAUUUGAAAUCUGGCGCCUUUGGCGUCCGAGUUGUAAUUUGCAGAGGAUGCUUCGGCGUUGGCGCCGCCCAAAGUUCCUUGGAACGGGACGUCGCAGAGGGUGAGAGCCCCGUGUUCGGGCGGAUGCCUUCGCCGUGUGAAGCUCCUUCGACGAGUCGAGUUGUUUGGGAAUGCAGCUCAAAACGGGAGGUAAAUUUCUUCCAAAGCUAAAUACCGGCCGGAGACCGAUAGUGCACAAGUAGAGUGAUCGAAAGAUGAAAAGCACUUUGGAAAGAGAGUCAAACAGCGCGUGAAAUUGUUGAAAGGGAAGCGCUUGCGGUCAGAACUUGGCCGCCGUUGCUCGGGGGGGCCUCGCGCCUCCCUCGCUCUUCGGCGGCUGGGCCAGCAUCGGUUCGGGCGGCUCGAGAAAGGUCGCGGGAACGUGGCUCCCUCCGGGGAGUGUUAUAGCCCGCGGCGCAAUAGGGCCCGCCUGGACCGAGGUCUGCGCAUCUGCUCGGAUGCUGGCGUAAUGGCCCCAAGCGGCCCGUCUUGAAACACGGACCAAGGAGUCUAACAUUCGUGCGAGUGUUCGGGCGUCAAACCCGUGCGCGCAAUGAAAGUGAACGUAGGUGGGAACCCCUCGCGGGGCGCACCAUCGACCGAUCCUGAUGUCUUCGGAUGGAUUUGAGUAUGAGCACGUAUGUUGGGACCCGAAAGAUGGUGAACUAUGCCUAAGCAGGGCGAAGCCAGAGGAAACUCUGGUGGAGGCUCGCAGCGGUUCUGACGUGCAAAUCGAUCGUCAAAUUUGGGUAUAGGGGCGAAAGACUAAUCGAACCAUUGGGACGCGUGCGAAGAAGGGGGGGUGCGGGAACCCCCGUCCUUCGCGCUACUAGGUGGUUAAGAGGCGGCUAAAAGUGCCCGUCUAGUCCCUCCGUUCGGGGCGACACUGUCAAAUUGCGGGGACCUCCUGAGAGCUCAAGCUACCGCGGCCCGCCGAAAGGCAGGGUGCAGCACCGGGGUAACGACCUAGGGGAUGGUAAAAACGCUUGAGAUUGGACGAUCCGCAGCCAAGUCCUACGUCCGGCACAGCGUGCUGGAUACGGAUGCUGUUCACAGACUAGAU